CAAACGGCUCUAUUCAGAGCCACUGCCGCCUCAGUUAUUAACACUCU
rfam:Anopheles melas strain CM1001059_A cont2.16654, whole genome shotgun sequence.